ensembl:lncRNA
GUCAGACCAGAGACGAGCUCAGCUGGUAAUGUAGUCUGAUGUUUCUUCUAUUAAAUUGUGUUUUGUCUGAAUGUUUGUGGAUCUGUAGAAAUUAACAGGUGUGUGAGUGUGUUUUUGUCAAUGAGGGAUAAAGAUGUACAGUCAUUAUUUCUUGAGCACUGUUUAUUUGUUUAUUUAAAAGGAUCCCCAUUAGCUGACGCCAAAACGACAACUAGUCUUCCUGGGGUCCAAACAAUACAUACAAAACCCAAUAAUUACAAUCACAAUUACUCCCAAAUAUAUCAUAUGUAAAUACACAUGAGAGAACAAAAAAAAAUUAUGUUUGCUCAAUUUGCUCAUAUGGUUGACUGUGAGGAGAAUUUAGUUUCAUGUUUUCUUUUCACAUUAAACUUCAGAUUUUGUUUGUUCCCCACACUCACGGUUACAUUCGUCAUUUAUUUUUGACCCUUGUUUUUCUUUUUUUUUCUUUUUUUUUUGUUUGGUUUGAUUAUUGCCUUCAUGAUGUUUUGUGUCAUUCCAGUAAUAAAUAUGACACAGCAGGAAAGAUGCAACGUAAGUUGAGAUUUUGAAAUAUAAGUUUCAGAGUUGGACUCACUUCUAUCAAUUAUGGUGCAGAGAGCAAUGCAAUAAGAUAUGGCACAUAUUAAAAAAUAUGAAUGCGCUUUUCUGUUUAUUGCUGAUGGUUAUGUGCACUUUUGUUUACUAUUAAUAUUGCAAAACAUAAUUAGCACAGUCUUAUUUACCAUACUAAAGAUCAAUUGUGAUUUCAGAGUCAGACAUUUGGAGGAUGUUUUCAAAAUCUUCUUGAGCAGAUUGAGAACAUUACAGCUCAAGAGCUUCCUUUGGAAACUGUGCAAAACAUUUUGAAUAUGGCCUUCAACACUUCGGAGAAGAUUUUAGAGUCAUCAUCAUCAUCAGUAAAUGCAGCUGAUCUAGCCUCUUAUGGAAACCGUCUGUUAAAAGCCAGCGAGAAACUCAUUUCUACAUUGGUGAAGCCGGUGGACACAAGUGACAGUGUCAGUUUUACUCUUGCUGCUGUUGAGGGUCAAGUCUUCAUGGUUGGACCACAGGUCACCUUAGAGAAAAUCCCUCGACUCGACACGACAAAUUCUUCUGUGGACAUCGAUCUCAUUGGGAUCACCAGGAACAACAAUGAAAGUAUGUCAGAUAAAAUAAAAAAUAAAAAAUCAUAGAGACAGCAUACACUGUAAAAAAUACACUGUCUUAAACCAUGUAAGUUUUAAAACUUUGCAAUCAAGUAAUUAAGUGAUUAACUAAGUGCUGAUUGAGCUUUAGUGAUGAACAGCUGCUGUCAACAAACAGAAUUACUGAAGAAAAGAGAAACACAAGAACUACUACAACUGACUUCAGACACAGCCUUAGAUAAAAUAAACUGAAAUAAAAUACAUUAAGUCUCUCA